UUGGAAUGACGUUGAUAUUAGGAAAACUUUAGCAUGUUCACUCGUGGAUAAUGGUUUAGCCCUAGCUGUGCAUUAUUAAGUUUACAUGUUGGCAAUUUUGGUGUAGUGUAUCUGCCAUCUUCUUUAUAAUGAAAAUUAAUCUUUGGCAAUUUACUCAUUGUUUGACUCGGUUCAGACUCACGGUCACACUGCAAGAUGCCAUGUGACCUAAUCAGUGACUAAAUGAAUGCAGGUGUCAGUCAGUGACUAAAUGAAUGCAGGUGUCAGUCAAAGCGACUGUGUGGUUGGUAAAGACAAUCUUCUCGUCUGUUAUUUUGAGCGGCUGUUAACAGGGUGAUUUAACCAGAGGUGCUGUGUUCAACCUGGCAACAGAUCGGGCAACGAGGAGACGUGUAAUGGGAGAAAUGAUUAAAUAAUAAAAAAACAUUUUUGUUGAACAA